rnacentral:rRNA from 1 species
GCGGGGUGAAGCGGUGAAUUUAAGCCCCGGUAAACGGCGGUGGUAACUAUAACCAUCCUAAGGUAGCGAAAUUCCUUGUCGGGUAAGUUCCGACCUGCACGAAUGGCGUAACGACUUCCCCACUGUCUCGGCCAGGAGCCCGGCGAAAUUGCAGUACGAGUAAAGAUGCUCGUUAAGCGCAGAAGGACGAAAAGACCCCGGGACCUUUACUAUACCUUGGUAUUGUCGUUAGGUGUGGAUCGUGUAGCAUAGGCGGGAGGCUGUGAAGCGUGGGCGCUAGCUUGCGUGGAGUCGACAGGUGAAA